AAACUAACAAGGAUUCCCCUAGUAACGGCGAGUGAAGCGGGAAGAGCUCAAAUUUGAAAUCUGGCAGUCUUCGAUUGUCCGAGUUGUAAUCUAUAGAGGCGUUUUCCGUGCCGGACCGUGUCCAAGUCUCCUGGAAAGGAGUAUCAAAGAGGGUGAUAAUCCCGUACUUAACACGACCACCGGUGCUCUGUGAUACGUCUUCUACGAGUCGAGUUGUUUGGGAAUGCAGCUCAAAAUGGGUGGUGAAUUCCAUCUAAAGCUAAAUAUUGGCGAGAGACCGAUAGCGAACAAGUACCGUGAGGGAAAGAUGAAAAGCACUUUGGAAAGAGAGUUAAACAGUACGUGAAAUUGUUGAAAGGGAAACGAUUGAAGUCAGUCGUGUUCUUUGGAUUCAGCCAGUUCUGCUGGUCUACUUCCUUGGAACGGGUCAACAUCAGUUUUGUCCGGUGGAUAAAGGUAGUAGGAAUGUGACUUCUCCGGAAGUGUUAUAGCCUAUUAUCACAUACACUGGGUGAGACUGAGGACUGCAGCUCGCCUUUAUGGCCGGUCUUCGGACACGUUCGAGCUUA
rnacentral:rRNA from 1 species